UACGGGGGGAGCGAACGUUGUUCGGAAUCACUGGGCGUAAAGGGCGUGCAGGCGGCCCAGUAAGUGGAAUGUGAAAUACCCUGGCUCAACCAGGGAACUGCAUUCCAGACUGCCAGGCUUGAGUAUAGGAGAGGAUGGGGGAAUUCCCGGUGUAGCGGUGGAAUGCAUUGAUAUCGGGAGGAACACCAGUGGCGAAGGCGCCCAUCUGGCCUAAUACUGACGCUGAGGCGCGAAAGCUAGGGGAGCAAACAGG
rnacentral:rRNA from 1 species